rnacentral:lncRNA from 1 species
GCCACCGCCCUCCCCCACACCCCCCACCAUGCAAAUCCCCCUGGGAAAGAAGAAAGUUGGACAGGAACAAGAUAGGUUAGACACUUACACCCUGGAGAGAGGUCCUUGAGCAACAGAAGUUAUUUGAGAUAUUUUAGAGAGUUUGUAGCCCAAAGAUCUGUCGGAGUUGGUGAUGAAUUAUCUCAGCAAAAAGUGAUAUUGGACCCUCAGUUUCCACACUGUGAUGGGAGCAAAGAC